ensembl:lncRNA
AUUGUGACAUCACCCACUGACAAGUACCCAUUGUCACAGCCACAGACACACCAGAAACUUCAGCUCCAGCAUAAGGAAGUCACACUCUCCAGAUCAUCCACAAGACAGCCUGACUGCAUGCACUGCCAUCCUUCCAGAUUUCACCUCAACUUUCAAGAGAAGAACUUCCCUUGUUUCGCCUUGUUAUUCAGAUAGAAAUUCCAAAGAGUGAAGAUUCACAAGACAGAAAAUCAUUAGAUGUGAAGACACGCAUUAGGUGAGUGGAGUGGCAACGGACAGGAUCACAGGGAAAACAGUGGCAGAACCAGGAAGGGGAAGCCAGUCACCUUGACGUGAACCAGGGCUCCUUUUACUGGCAUUUCUCACCUUUCUGUGCAAAACGAGAGCGUGGCCUUCUGGGAGCCUACACUCUGGAAGGAAGUACCUUCCCAUGUAACCCCCGGCUCCACAGUCUUGCUAUGGCUCUGCUUUUCUAGCAGACAGUCCAAAGGACAGGAAGUUGUGAGGCAAGGUGUGCCCAGCUAUGUAAAACCGACUGUGAAGACAGAUGAACAAUCUCUGAUGGAGCCUCCAAGCAAGCUUAUAAGAUGGGGCUCAAGAACUAAGAUUUAGGAUGUACGCA